AGUCACUAAAAAUUAAACAGCGGCUGCGUUACCAUUGUGGGAUGUGGUGGUUUCACAGUUCGUGUGUGAAUUUUUACUUUUCCCAUCAAGGCUCCUUUUGAUCAAGUUCAUAAGGAACUUCAAGAAGUAUAUACUGGAUUUAAGUAGAAAUGUUAAGACUAUCCAAAAAAGGAAUAGUUAGAAUUGAUCAAGUUCAAGAUGAAGAAACCUACCUGGAAAAUUUAGCAGUGCAAAGAAAUGCUUCUGCUUUCUUUGAAAAAUAUGAUCGCAGUGAAGUGCAAGAAUUACUAACAACAGCACUAGUCAGCUGGCUGUCUGCCAAGGAGGAUGUUCGCUCUCAACUAGACAUCCCAUGUGGACUCAUGAGUCAAAUAAAUAAUGUAGGCUUCUCUACCGCCAUCCUGUUGACGCCUGUGGACCCCACCGCCCACUUAGACUAUAGGGAAGUCCAUCAGAUCUUAAGGGAGUUGGCUGUUGGAAUUUAUUGCUUAAAUCAAAUCCCUUCAAUCAGUUUAGAAGCAAAUUAUGAUCAGAGUUCUUCUUGUCAACUACCUCCAGCUUAUUAUGAUACCAGAAUUGGACAAAUUUUGAUCUAUAUUGACUAUAUGCUAAAAGCACUGUGGCAUGGAAUAUACAUGCCCAAAGAGAAGCGAACCAGAUUCUCUGAGUUGUGGCGCACUAUCAUGGACAUCGAUCCAGACGGGAAGCCUCAAACAACUAAAGAUAUAUUUUCUGAGUUUAGUUCAGCAGGUUUGGUCGAUAUUACAAAUGAUCCAGACUUUGAUGGAAUCUAUGAUGAAGACAUGAAUGAAGAUCCAACAUAUGAUCCCAAUAGCCCUGAAGAAAAGGCUGUAUUUAUGAAAUAUGCUGAAAACAUUAUGCUAAAGCUGACAUUCAGUACCACAAAAGUUCAACAGCAUGAAAACAUCUUUAUAUUUGAGACAGCCUAUUGGCUUACUAAUGCUAUAAAGUACAAUCAAGAUUAUCUGGAUAUUUGUACUUACCAGAGACUACAACAAAGGCUAUAUCUUCAAAAAAAAGUUAUUCAAAAACACUUUGAGAAAAAAAAAGAAAUCAGAAGAGGGAUAGGCUAUCUGAAGUUAAUAUGUUUUCUAAUUCCAUUUUUACUCAGUUUAAAAAAGAGGAUGAAAGUUCCAUAUUUAAAUAGUCUGCUUCCACCAUUUUCAGAUGACAAAGUCAAGACAGAGAGAGAACUGCCUCCAUUUAUUUAUGGACGAGAUUUUAAAUGCCAGAAUUUUGACUACAAAGAACACCAGUAUUUCCAUGUUCAUGGAGGAAUUGAAUUUGAUAUCAGCACGAAUCCAGUUGAGAGUGCUUUGGAUGACUUUAAGAAAAAUGUAGAGAAAAUACAGGAGUGUGCUGCUAAUACCUUUGCAGAAGAUUCAGGAUACAAAGAAUUUUACUCAGUACCAGUCAUGGAGUUUUAUGGAAAGAGUUACUAUGUGAUCUAUUUUGAUCUUGAAAUUUUCUACCAGCAACUAUAUAAGACUCAAUGGUGGGGAGCCAUAAAUGAAAUCAUCAACAAUCUGAGAUUGAAAAGACUUCCACUGACUGAAGCUCAAUUACAUGAGCAGUUUAAGAAAAAAUUUGGUUUCAAAAAAGCUAUAAAGUGCAAGAGUAUCCCAUUUGGUAUGAAGUCUGCUGUUGAAAGAGGCUUGUCUGCUGUUUUCCAUACAUUCAGCCGUAAAACCUCAAGCUCAACAAUCAAUGUUUCUGAUGAAGCAGGCUAUGCCAUUUUCCACCACGCUGCCCUGCACAACCGGGUCUCUAUCAUCUGUCAGCUGUGUAACGCCAACUUCAAUGUUAACCAGAGACGCUUCAUCAUGUUCAGCCAAGAGUCAUCCAAAGGGGACAUGAAAAAAGAAAGAAAUGGUCCAACCCCUCUACACCUGGCCGCACAAGCCUGUUCACUGGAGGCAACCGUCUGCCUCCUCUGUUUCAAAGCCGAUCACACACUUACUGAGAAAAGGGGCUGGAUGCCGAUCCACUUCGCCGCCUUCUAUGAUAACAUCUGCAUCAUCAUUGCACUCUGCAGGAAGGAUCCCAGUUUGCUAGAGGCUGAGGCAACAGCUGAGAAUCAGUGUACCCCACUAUUGCUCGCUGCUACUUCAGGAGCACUGGACACUAUUCAGUACCUUUUCUCUCUUGGUGCCAACUGGAGAAAAACAGAUGCGAAAGGAAACAAUAUCAUUCACUUGUCAGUGCUCACUUUUCAUACAGAGGUACUCAAGUAUAUCAUAGAAUUGAAUAUCCCUGAACUUCCAGUUUGGAAAACUUUGGUAGAAAUGUUGCAGUGUGAAAGCUUCAAGCGAAGGAUGAUGGCUGUCAUGUCCUUAGAAGUAGUUUGCUUAGCAAAUGAUCAAUACUGGAAAUGUAUUUUGGAUGCAGGCACCAUUCCUGCUUUAAUCAAUCUGUUAAAAUGUCCCAAAAUAAAACUGCAGUGUAAAACUGUUGGGUUACUGAGUAAUAUCUCAACCCAUGUAAGUGUAGUACAUGCUUUGGUGGAGGCAGGAGGCAUCCCUGCUUUGAUCAACCUGCUGGCUUCUGAUGAGCCCGAACUACAUUCCCGCUGUGCUGUCAUUCUGUACGAUAUUGCUAAGUGUGAAAACAAGGAUGUUAUCUCCAAAUAUAAUGGAAUCCCGGCUCUGAUAAAUCUCCUGAGCCUGAACAUAGAAAGCGUGCUGGUGAACGUAAUGAACUGUAUCCGGGUGCUAUGUAUCGGAAAUGAAAGCAACCAGAGAGCCAUGAGGGACCACAACGGUAUCCAGUACCUCAUCCGGUUUCUGAGUUCUGAUUCUGAUGCGCUGAAGGCAGUGUCCUCAGCUACAAUUGCUGAGGUCGGCCGUGACAAUAAGGACGUGCAGGAUGCUAUAGCAAUGCAAGGGGCUAUUCCUCCCCUGGUGGCUCUUUUUAAAGGGAAGCAGCUCAGUGUCCAAGUGAAAGGUGCAAUGGCUGUGGAAUCCCUGGCGAAUUACAAUCCUUUCAUCCAGAAGGCAUUUCUGGAAAGAAAAUUAACUAAAGAUCUCCUGAAACUUCUAAAGGCCUUUCAAAUAGAUGUUAAGGAGCAAGGAGCCGUAGCACUUUGGGCUUUGGCAGGACAAACCCUGAAGCAACAGAAGUACAUGGCAGAACAGAUUGGCUACAACUUCAUAAUAAACAUGCUUUUGUCUCCAUCAGCUAAGAUGCAGUAUGUAGGAGGUGAAGCGGUCAUAGCUCUCAGCAAGGACAGCAGGAUUCAUCAAAACCAAAUAUGCGAAGGGAACGGCAUCGCACCUCUGGUCCGCUUGCUGAGGAUUAAUAAGAUAGCUGAAGGCACACUUCUGAGCGUCAUCAGAGCAGUGGGGUCCAUUUGUAUUGGUGUGGCCCACACAAGCAAUGCCAUGAGUCAACGGUUCGUUGUGGAGGAGAAUGCCUUUCCUGUACUUAUUCAGCUACUAAGAAGUCACCCUUCUACUAACAUUAAGGUUGAAGUGGCAUUUUCUUUGGCAUGCAUCGUCCUAGGGAAUGAGUUGCUACAGAAAGAAUUACAAGAAAAGGAAGGAUUUGAGUAUUCUGAUGUCCUUUAUCUUCUUCACUCCAAAGAAAAGGACAUUUGCCUGAGAGCAGGUUAUGCACUAACUCUUUUUGCCUUCAACAAUCGUUUUCAACAGUACUUAAUACUGGAAAGUGGAAUGCUAACCUUAUCUAUUUUUGAGCCUUUUCUUCGAUCCAAGGUUGAAACAGAGAAGGCAAUGGCAGCGUUUCAGAUUAUUGUAUUAGCUAAAGUCAUUAUAGAUGUGGACCAUAUUACUUUGUCUGCAAGAGGUGUUACUAUUUUAGUUGACAGUCUGUAUUCAGUCCACAUUCCUACUAUUGUCCUGGCAGGUAAUUUAAUAGCUAGUCUGGCUCACUCUAGAGCUGGUAUUCCAGCCGCUUUUCUGACGCUAGGGACAGUCCAACGGCUAUGCUACCACCUGUACUCAGGAAGAGAAGAGGUUCGCACAGCGUGUUCUUGUGCCCUUGGCUACCUGACUUACAAUGCACAUGCUUUCCGAAUCCUGCUAAAGGAGUGCAGGAACAAACCUAACCAGUUCCUGCGCAUAAUGAAUAACAUCAGCAGAGACGCGAAGAUUAACCCCGUCUUCCUGAAGGAGUUCCAAAUGCAGCAAAAUGUGGGACUUCCGUCCUUAAGUCUGGAAAAGAAUGGAGGACCAUCUAUAAUUCCUGUCUUUAAAAAAGGAGGUCAGAAAAGGAUGCUGGAUCCAUUGGAACUGGAGUUAUGGACACUUGGGAGCUGCCAUGUGGAUGCUGGGGUCCUCUGCAAGAACAAGAAGUGCUCUUAACCACUGGGCCCUCUCUCCAGCCCCAGUUAAGACUCUGACCUGACCCCAGCUGGAUAAAGCCAUCAUCGCCAGCCCAGACCCUGCUACAAGGAGGCACAACCGGACCAGCCAGUAUCAUCUGAUAAGCAGCAAUGUGAUGCUUUCCUGGGACUGCUGUUGAGACCACAAAACAUACACGCAGGAGAAAAAGGCACAACAAAGAAAAAUCAUUGGAAGUUCACUACCCCAACCUUCUUUCUAAAUCCUUCUCCCCUACCCCACCACCCCCAGAAGAUAGCAAUCUAUAUAUAAACACCCUAGCAUUUGCACACUGCAAAGCAUGUGUGGAAUGAGCAAAACUAGGGUGAGAAACCAAAGCCAACGUCUCAGCUGGGAAAGCGGACCUGCAGGACCAGGAUGGAGUGAACUAUUCGCAGAUUCGAGUCGUGAGCUCCCACAGCCACUCCAGACGAAUUAGAGUUCCUCAAUUUGGGCAGCACAGCUGGAAACAGCUGGCUCGGAAGCUACGAAGUCUCUGUCGGCGGAGAACUGCAGAGGAGCUCCGACUAGAUCUACUUUUUAAAAAGCCUCUGAGGCAAGACCUGUGCAAUACCAUCCACCUUGGGAAGCUGCGGGCGUCCGCUCGAAGCGCCGGCGCCCGGAAGUGACGCCACCGGGCAGCGACACAGUUCUCGGGCCGCGGUGUUGCCUAUGGCUCGAGAGCCGCUUGGUGAAGAAAUGCUUCAGGACAUCUUGAGCCUUCCAGCUUGCCCUCCGGCGGCGUUCUUGCCAGGUUUGUGAGCACCAAGGUUACACUGACGGCGGCUUAUGAAGAGGGGUCCGAAUUCAGCUCUGACUGCACUGCGCCCACACGACGCUACAUUUUAGGAAAGAGUCCUGCCUUUCCUUUGGUGCCACCGUGAGAAAAAGGAUAGGGUACAUUGUCAUCCUGUUUUAGGGAAAAUGUCACCAGACUUACAGGUAGUGACCUAAGAAACCUUCCACUUUCAUGGGGAAAGAGUAUUUUCAUCAGAAAUCAGAACACCAGCAGAAUUAGCACUGGAUUCCCAGAGGAUGGAAGUGUUUGUGGUUGUAGUCUAAACCUUCGCUCCCGCUCUCCAUUCCAAGGGAAACACCUGUGGCUGGCUCAUUCUGUUAUCACGAAAUCAGCCAAAUAAGUUGUGAACAUUAAAAAAAAAUUGUGUUGCAUUCUAUAGCCCCAUAUCACUAUGUACUCAACCUUCUGUGUAGCAUGUACUAAUUUUUGCAUCGUCUUGUUUUUGUUGACUUGGUUUGUGAAUUUAAUUAAGCUUGCAUGGAUGUAUCUCGAAUCUUUCUUCUCCCUACCAAGCUUUAAAACUGUAGCAAGCAAAGGAUUUAAGAUGCAAGGUUGGGAAGUGCCAGCAUACACAUCUUUGCAGAAGUCUGGUAGUGGCAGCACAAGCCCUUAAUCCGACCACAUGGCAGGCAGGAUCUGUGUGUUCAAGAACACAGCCAGCAUGUUGACACACGCCUUUAAUCUCAGUACCACCCAUAGAGACCUGGAGGUCUGUAUAGACAGGCAGUGACGAGGAAGUCAUGUGGUUGGGUUUACAGCCAAUGAGAAGGCAGAAGAAAAAGGCAAUGAAAGGGGCACAGGAAGGAGGUCUCUCUCUCUCAGGGGAAGGACAACAGCAAGUGGUAAGAUAAGGUGGUCUUAGCUCUUGGCUACUGCUCAAUCACUGGGCGUUUCACUCUUUAUUUGGCUCUGUGUUUUUUAUUUAUUUAAUAAGACCAUUUAGAAUUACAUCUACAACCUUCUCAAAGUCUAUUAGCAAAAGACAGGUAAUAGGCAAUAGAAACGUAGUGAAAUGGAAAUGCACAUUUUUUUGACUAGACAAAAAAAAUCCCGUAUCUUCCCUCAUAAGCACGACCCCCCACAACCCACUUACUUUUAGGUCCCUUUACUUAAGCCUGACUUACCACUCUUCAACCUGUUCCAAAUUCUCACAUCAACAUAUACUAAGACAGUGGUUCUCAACUUCCCUAACGCUACAACCCUUUAAUACAGUUCCUCAUGUUGUGAUUCCCCAAUCAUAAAAUUACUUUGUUGCUAUUCAUAACUGUAAUUUUGUUGCCAUUAUGAAUCAGAAUGUAAAUAUCUGAUAAGCAGGAUAUCUGAUAUGUGGCCUCUGUGAAAGGGUCUUUUGAUUGCUGAUGGGUCAUGACCCACAGGUUGAGAAUCAUUGAUCUCACAGUUUUGCAACUUUCUAUUCUGUUAAAAGGAUUAUAUUAAAUUUGUUCAGUUAUAUUCCAUUUAUUUUUAUUCGGAAUAGGAUAAGGGAAUUGGGGGUCAUAUUUACUGAUAAUAUAUAUUCAUGUAAGAGACACAAUUAAUAUGCUGUGUAAUAAUGACUCAAACUUCAGUUAGAUAAGAUAGGUCAAAAUUAACAAAAUAUUUUGAUAAGAAAAACUCUUAGCUUUUGGUUUAAUGAAUCUAUUUUGUUAAGUGUAUGAAAAGAGAAACCAUCACUUGACAGCUCAUGCUGAAGAUGUGAGGUUUUUGUUCCACAAAGUAAACCAAUGAUCAAAUCAAAAUAUUUGAAGUGGUAACAUAUUGCAUUAAAAAAAAAAGCAUGUAGGAGACAGCAGUAUUAUAGGCACCUCUCAUCUCAUCCCCUCUUGUAUUUACCUUGCAUUCUACACAAUAAAAUCAAAGUAGAACUUAAAGAAGUCACUGAAAGUGGGAGAAAUGUGGGACUGUAUUUUAUGGAAAUGUAACAGCUUUAGUAGUGCUUAUUCAAGACUGUUAAGUUUAAACAAGUAGAUAAAGAGUUUUGUGGCAUAAAGAUUAGGGGUUUGGCUCAAUAUAAACAACUCAUAACUUCAUUAUAAAAUGGGUUAUGCUGUCCUCUAUUACUGUUAAAUCAGAACUUACUGGAGUAGUCAUCAGUGCUUAUUUGAGCUGAUGUAGGGGACUGAAUUCCAGUCUUAAGUAUUUUUCUAACAUAGCACUGAGAUAUGUUGUCACAUAUUUAUUAGGCUGAUUCACAGAUACUUUUAAGUAGUUGUUAUUAUGCUCCCUUAGAAUCUAGUUUGGGAGACAGUAACACCACCUAAAACCCAAAAAAGAAUGUGGCAUGUCAAAAACACAGGAGUCAGCUUGGAAAAAACAUAAAGCAGUGAAAAUUAGCAUAAAGGAAAUAGAAAACUUUUGUAGGAUAUUAUUUCAAGGUGUGUUACUUUUGUUUAUGCUCUUAAACGCAAAGAUGUGUUUGAUUAAAUAAAAUUCACCUGCGGUCAGGAGGUUGGUAGGGAGGGGCGAGGAUAUGAGCAAGGAGAGGAGGUGAACUACUUGCUAUUCAGCCUCUGAAGAGCAGAAUUCCAUCUUAACCUUUGAAUCUUGACUUUUUUUAGAGGGGAAUCGGUUUAAUUAAGUUCCCUUCGUAGCUCUGCAAGAGUUCGAGCAGCCAGCUACAGCCCUUGAGGCCUAACCACUGCUAAUAGCAGCAGAGUUGCAGCUGGUGAUUCAGUCAGCUGUGCUUAAAAGGCAGCAACCACCUUAAAAAAGGACAACAGAAAACCAAUACCAGGGCCCCACAGUAAAACCUACCUCACUUAAGAUGCACUGACAGGCUGGAGAGGUGGUGUAGCACUAAAAGGUGCACCUCCAAGUUCUGUUCCCAGAACCCAAGUCAGGCAACUCAAAAUCCCUUGGAACUCAAGCUUCAGGAAAUGGAACACCCUCUACUGGCCUCUGCAGGCACUACACUCACAUACAAACCCACAUAAUUGUAAGGAAAAUCUUUGACAGAUCUAGUGGCUCAUCACUAAGUCGCCAGUAUGUGUCCUGACUUCAUUAGAGUUAAUUAAGUUUUGUUGUUGUUAAGGCGGGAUGGCCUUGCACAUGCAGCAGCCUCCUCCCCUAGCCUUGAUGGUGCUGAGAUCACAGACAUAAACUACCACAUCCAGAUUAAUAAAGUAUACAUUUAUAAAAAUGGCAUUUUUUCAGGUUUAACACAGCCAUUCACCUAGUAUUCAGACCAAAUACUAAGUCACUUCAUUUUCUGCUUUCCAACAUUAAUCAGCACAUCCACAAAGGCACAACUCUUACCGGUAGCUCAUUUCGUUCACUACUUCUCAGUCUGAACUGCCUGGUUGCAGUGGCUUCCCAACUAUUCCUGUUUUCCAUUCUCUGGCUCAUUUCAACAGCAGUGAGCUUUAAAUACAAUGAGUCCCUUCCAUCUUCUGUGUAGUUCUGUCAUGCUAAGAAUAAAAUCCGCUUAUUUCUGAUUUUGAACGCCUUGUAACCUAGCCUGUGCUGUGCCAUACUGCUGGGAUACUCAUGGUUGCCAUUCUCCUUGCUUUUCCCUGCCUCUACUGCAAACAUGUCUCUGGUGUUUAGGAAUCUCGGCAUCUGUUACUACUCCUACUGGCAAUUUUCUCUAGACCGCUGUACCUUCCACUCCUUAGAUGAAGCAGGUGUCCACACAUCCCAUACCCUUACCUCCAUGGCAUUCUUUACUUCCUGAAUUACCUACACUGUGUGCACCUCCAGCGAAGAACAGGCUUUUCUUGUUCAGACUCAGUAGCACUAAAAUAGCAUAACUGAGCAGGCCCCAUACAGGUAUGAGUAAAUAGUUUUAAAGCAUUGAAAGUAGAAAGCACAGAAAACAUGGGGCAAUUUUUUUCUAAAUAUGUGUAAAAAUAUAAGCUUUUAAAAAUGAAGUUAAACAGAGGAACAUUUUUUAGUUGAUUUUACAAAUUCAGUUGUUUAAAAAUAAAUCUGAAGUGUCAAUGUAGUUUUGAUGACUGUCUUGGAAAUUUUUAAAAUAAUCUUACACCAAGGAAAACUUUUUAUUAAAGCAUCAAUUACCAGUAAUUGAAAAAUACACAAGAAAAGACAAACAUACAAAGGCAGCAUCAUACAAAUGAUUUUUAAACUCAGUACUUUUGAAAUAGGAAACAAUGACCUCUACCCCUAAGUCUGUUUAUUGCCACAAAUUAACUUAUAAGUUGAUCUACAACUGUUUUCAAUCUUAUGUUACUGAGUUUUUCAGCUUUAUCUUAUAACAUUUUAGAAAUAUAUUUCUCAUAGUAGUAAUUUCAUACAAUUAAUGCUAGCAACUAUAGGAAGCUUCCCCACAUCACAAGAAUUCAAUAUAGUUGUUGCUG